rnacentral:rRNA from 1 species
UGUUUCAGUAUGCUGCCAUAAAGGCACCAGAUUUUGUCUGAUCUUUGGAGCUAAGUAAAGUCAGCCCUUGUUAGUACUUGGAUGAGAGAGCACCAGUGAAUGCCAGGUGCUAUAGACU